GACGAACGCUGGCGGCGUGCUUAACACAUGCAAGUCGAACGGAAAGGCACUGCUUGCAGGGUACUCGAGUGGCGAACGGGUGAGUAACACGUGGGUGAUCUGCCCUGCACUUCGGGAUAAGCCUGGGAAACUGGGUCUAAUACCGGAUAUGACCUUCCAUGUAGUGUGGGGGGUGGAAAGAUUUAUCGGUGUGGGAUGAGCCCGCGGCCUAUCAGCUUGUUGGUGGGGUAAUGGCCUACCAAGGCGUCGACGGGUAGCCGGCCUGAGAGGGUGGACGGCCACAUUGGGACUGAGAUACGGCCCAGACUCCUACGGGAGGCAGCAGUGGGGAAUAUUGCACAAUGGGCGGAAGCCUUAUGCAGCGACGCCGCGUGGGGGAUGACGGCCUUCGGGUUGUAAACCUCUUUCGACAGGGACGAAGCUUCGGUGACGGUACCUGGAUAAGAAGCACCGGCUAACUACGUG
rnacentral:rRNA from 1 species